rnacentral:rRNA from 1 species
GAUGAACGCUGGCGGCGUGCUUAACACAUGCAAGUCGAGCGAAGCACUUUUGCGGAUUUCUUCGGAUUGAAGCAACUGUGACUGAGCGGCGGACGGGUGAGUAACACGUAGGUAACCUGCCCAUGUGCCCGGGAUAACUUCUGGAAACGGAUGCUAAAACCGGAUAGGUAGCAGACAAGCAUUUGACUGCUAUUAAAGUGGCCUUGGCCAUGAACAUGGAUGGACCUGCGGUGCAUUAGCUGGUUGGUGAGGUAACGGCCCACCAAGGCGACGAUGCAUAGCCGGCCUGAGAGGGCGGACGGCCACAUUGGGACUGAGACACGGGCCCAAACUCCUACGGGAGGCAGCAGUAGGGAAUUUUCGUCAAUGGGGGAACCCUGAACGAGCAAUGCCGCGUGAGUGAGGAAGGUCUUCGGGAUCGUAAAGCUCUGUUGUAAGAGAAAAACGGC